AAUUCUCAACCUUUCGAGCUUUUGUUUAAAGCUUCGUUAGGCUUGGAUUUUGGGAGUUUGCUGGCUCCAUCGAGAGUCAGCUCUUCUUAAAUAUAUUAGCAAGAUUAAUCGCUAAAUUGCCGUUGAUAUGAUAAUUAUCUAUAUCACUGGUUUAUUAGUGUUUUCCCCUUAGAAGGAAAAUAAUCUGGCUUCUAAUCGUCUUUCGAGACAAAUGUUAUUGAAUCAU
rnacentral:misc_RNA from 1 species